GGGGCGUUAGCUCAGCGGUAGAGCAGUUGGCUUUUAACCAAUUGGUCGUAGGUUCGAAUCCCACACGACCCACCA
rnacentral:tRNA from 1 species